GACGAACGCUGGCGGCGUGCUUAACACAUGCAAGUCGAACGGAAAGGCCCUGCUUUUGUGGGGUGCUCGAGUGGCGAACGGGUGAGUAACACGUGAGUAACCUGCCCUUGACUGUGGGAUAACUUCAGGAAACUGGGGCUAAUACCGGAUAGGAGCUCCUGCUGCAUGGUGGGGGUUGGAAAGUUUCGGCGGUUGGGGAUGGACUCGCGGCUUAUCAGCUUGUUGGUGGGGUAGUGGCUUACCAAGGAUUUGACGGGUAGCCGGCCUGAGAGGGUGACCGGCCACAGUGGCACUGAGAUACGGCCCAGACUGAUACGGGAGGAAGCAGUGGGGAAUAUUGCGAAAUGGGCGGAAGCGUGAUGCAGCAACGCCGCGUGCGGGAUGACGGCCUUCGGGUUGUAAACCGCUUUCGACUGUGACGAAGCGUGAGUGACGGUAAUGGGUAAAGAAGCACCGGCUAACUACGU
rnacentral:rRNA from 1 species